rnacentral:rRNA from 1 species
AGUGGCGGACGGGUGAGUAACACGUGGGUAACCUACCCUUAAGUGGGGGAUAACAUUUGGAAACAGAUGCUAAUACCGCAUAACCAUUCAGACCACAUGGUCUGAAUGUAAAAGACGGCCUUUGGCUGUCACUUUUGGACGGACCCGCGGCGUAUUAGUUAGUUGGUAAGGUAACGGCUUACCAAGACAAUGAUACGUAGCCGACCUGAGAGGGUAAUCGGCCACAUUGGGACUGAGACACGGCCCAAACUCCUACGGGAGGCAGCAGUAGGGAAUCUUCCACAAUGGACGAAAGUCUGAUGGAGCAACGCCGCGUGAGUGAAGAAGGUUUUAGGAUCGUAAAACUCUGUUGUUGGAGAAGAACAGGGACUAGAGUAACUGUUAGUCCUUUGACGGUAUCCAACCAGAAAGCCACGGCUAACUACGUGCCAGCAGCCGCGGUAAUACGUAGGUGGCAAGCGUUGUCCGGAUUUAUUGGGCGUAAAGCGAGC